GAAUACGAUUAUAUUUUGAUGUACUUUACUGGUUGUCCGUGCUGUUGGUUCUUUUGGCUUUAGAAAUGUGAGACAAUAUAUCCACAGGAAAUUAUAAUUACAUAAACUUGUCAAUGCACUUUUAAUGCAUUUAGAUUUAUAUCCCCUGAAGCAUACGCAGAUCCAUGUAAUCACGAACUGGGCAAGUAUGCAUGUCUCCUGCAAGUAAUUGUUUACUUAUGCGCAGAGGAAUGUACAAACAUUGCUUUGAAAAUGUGAUGUAAUUAUACUUUCCUGUGGAUAUAUAUUGUCUUACAUUCCUACCGCCAAAAGGACCAACCACACUGACAACCGGUAAAAUGCAUUCAAAUAUGAUUUUAUUCAACCUUCUGGCUUUUAGAGGUGGUGAGAGGAAACGUUCCUGAUUCAAACACUAAUUUCUGCCCAAAGUAGAAUUCUCUGCAAUUCAACGUUGUGUUUAGGCAACCUGUUCAGGCACCUGUUUUCUGCACACACACCACCAGUAUGCUCAGUACACAGGCUGACAAAAUAUGUCAAAGUUCCCAGUGGAGAGGAUCAUACAUGUCAGCAUCAUUGCUCACAUUGACCAUAGGAAGAGCACCUGGGCUGACAGGUUUCUGGAAAUUACAGGUCCCGUUUGCAUUACCAUAUCCAUACUCAUGGAUCACACAGAUACUCAUGCAUUUAGUUGUAUUGUAUGAUAUGGCUCACCUCAUCGCUUGGUUUUGAUAGGUGCCAUAACCACCAGGAAUACCCCCCAUAGCUGCGGCAAAUAGGGGUGCUGCAGCAACCUUGAAAAAUCGACAUAAUAAUUUAAACAAAACAUUUACACAGCGUCAAUAGACGGUGUUUUAUAAACAAACAUGUACAGUAGUAGAAUAUGUCUGCAUUCUGACGCGAAUGUGCUUGUGGGUCUCUCUCUCCAGAGAUGUGUCCUAUUGACCAGUCAGACUACAGCGCCCUCCGCAGUGCUGUGGCGAAACUGCAGUUUGAUGUGCAGAAGGACAGCAGUCUGGCACCGGGAGCAGGCUGGAGGCUUCCUGGGCCUGCUCCACAUAGAGUUGUUGCACCAGUGCUUGGAGAAGGAGUACAACUCCUCUGUCAAAGUGACAGACUCCACCAUGCCUACGAGGCUGUCUUGUCCUGCGCCAAGCUCAUUGAGGAGCAUGGGAAAGAGAAGAUCUGCAUAGUGAACCCAGUUCUCAGACAGGUCUGUAGUGACAGAGUACCUGGAUCCCAUGGUGAUGGGGACCAUCUUCGCCCCUGA
rnacentral:lncRNA from 1 species